CCUCAGUCUCUAUUUUGUGCCGGCGUGGCGACACGCGGGGGACACAUAGAGAGACAAUCUACGACUAGUAGGAGGAAGCUGGAGGCGAUAACAGGUCUGUGAUGCCCUUUGAUGUUCUGGGCCGCACGCGCGCUACACUGACGCACACAGCGAGAGGCGCCGCCGAGAGGCGGGGCGAAACAAGAAAGUGCGUCGUGCUGGGGAUUGAUGGUUGCAAUUGUCCGUCAUGAACGAGGAAUUCCUAGUAGGUGCGAGUCAUUAACUUGCGCCGAUUACGUCCCUGUCCUUUGUACACACCGCCCGUCGCUACUAUCGACGAAUGCACAGACGAGCCCGUUGGAGCUGCUCCUUGUGAGGACGAAGACGUGCGAGUCUGUGGGUUUGGAGAAAGUAAAAGUCG
rnacentral:rRNA from 1 species